UUAGGUGUGUUCUGCCUUCUACUCGGCAGGCUCCAUCCAGCCCCUGGGCCUUUGCUCACAGGGGUUCCCUCUGCCCAGACACCAGUGAGGUGGAUGCUGCCUGUGUAGGAGCUGGCACAUAGAUGGUGGCAUGGUAGAUAGCGAAAGGUCAAGGACCCUGGGGCCGGCCAUGCCUGGGAUCUGCUGCAGGCAGCUGUGGGAUCCGGGAUAAGUGGCUUCAUGUCUCUGUAGCCGCCCUUCUUCUGGAAAGUGAAGGCCAGAUAUGGUGACCUACGC
rnacentral:lncRNA from 1 species